rnacentral:rRNA from 1 species
UACGUAGGGGGCAAGCGUUGUCCGGAUUUAUUGGGCGUAAAGAGCGUGUAGGCGGCCAGGUAGGUCCGCUGUGAAAACUCGAGGCUCAACCUCGAGAUGUCGGCGGAAACCAUCUGGCUAGAGUCCGGAAGAGGAGAGUGGAAUUCCUGGUGUAGCGGUGAAAUGCGCAGAGUAUCAGGAGGAACACCGGUGGCGAAGGCGGAUCUCUGGGCCUGUUCUGACGCUGAGGCGCGAAAGCUAGGGGAGCGAACAGG